UAUUGUUACAUUAAUUUAUAACUACGUCGGCUUUUUCUUUACCCUUUUUUUAAUAACCUCGAGAUAACGCAGCAAAAUAUCAAUAUCUAAAACAGGUAGGAGACGAUUUCCGCGACGUUGAACGAAAGGGGGACCGCCUCGUCCGCAAAUACCGAUAGCCUAUUAAAUUUAAGCGUCCCCGGUCGUGGAAGGAAACGGGCCGGUAGGAACGCGAAAUCUGUCGGCGUGAAUAUAAAUAUGUCGAGGAGGAAGUGUGUGCUAUAAUAAUAGAAGCGGCGAGGUAUGCGUCGCGCGGGAGAGGAAUCGCGACAAGAGGCAGCCGGUUAUUGCGGCGAACGCGGUAGAAAACACGAGACGACUCGCGUCGCGAGUGUGUCGUGCGCUCUGGUAAAACGGAAAAGUGUCCCCAAUAGCCCGGGAAGUAACGCCGAAGGACGAUUGGUUGCCGGGUUAUUUAUCGUAAUGGAAUAAUGCGGUCGUAGGUGCGUGUGACGGUGUGCGGCUGUAUCGUCGCAGCCACCCAUUCCGAUAAAAGGCCACCCAUCAUCGUGUCGCAAUAACGAUAGGAUGUCGUCUCCGUUGCUGGGACUCGGAUCAAUGGACAGAUGCGAAUAAAGUAAAAAUAAAAUAGACGAGGAGGAUUUUUCUCUUUUUUUUUUUCAAGGAUUAACGAGGAACGCGAAGAGAUGGAAGGGGAGAGGUAGGUUGUAGGAAGAUCUCGCUCUCGUUGUUAAAUGAAAUAUGUACGAUAAAAGGAGCGAAAUGAGGAGAGGGAAAGGAAUGGGUUAACAAUGUAAGGUAACGUUGUAAGGUAUUAUGGGGAACUACAAUUGUGCAAUAUAAUAGAAGCGUAUAAUGAACGAUGAAUUAAGUCAGAAGAGAAUUAAGUCACUCGAGUUCUCUCGUUGCCUUUGAACAAUCAGCGCUACGUGAUAACGUACGUGGUACAGAAAAUGUGCGUUCGUUAGAAAAUUCAGCGCUAUUUCCAUCACACACGUCUUUGUCGGCGUAUCGCGCGCGACAAUUCACGUAUCUCAAGAGCCGUUAUUGCGCUGCGCUCAAUUUUGAGUUCGAAGUUUCACCCACUUUCGUUGUAAUUAUUAUCGGCCGCCCGGUAAACCACUGAGUGUGUGUGUCCUGAGUGCGUCCCGUCGGUCGGCCGAAGAUGACUCGAUACGAGGCGAGAAUAAAACAAGCCCCGUGAAUUCUGUGUGGGGUCGGCCGAGCGGUGAGAGGGAUGGUGGAGUAGGAAGGAGAAGAAGGAAGGAGGAGACUAUCGUCGUCUCUUGUCCCGGAUCCGACUCGUAAUAAUAGUUAUUUCGACGGUGAGGAAUGCCAGAAAGUACGCGCGCGAGCGCGCCGUAUGCGUGAAACACGAGAAGAGAAGAGAAGAGAGGAAAGAGAGGAGAGACGAGAGACGAGGGAAAAGCAACAAAGAUAAAGAGAAGAGAGAGGGAGAGGGACGAGAUCGACAGCGUAACGCAUUAGGCUUUCGGAGGCUUCGAAAGGACAGAGCAACUUCGACGUAAUAUACCAUAUAACAGUAUAACGUCGUAAAAUUGCAUAAUGCAUUACUCAUGCAAAUCCGUUUAAUGGGUAAUGAAUUUUAUUCUCUAUUAAGAAGCGCCUCUUACCCCUUGCGGCGCGGCUAAAAAGGAAGAUAAUACGUACGACGUUGACGCGCGCGUGUAAGAUAAAUUGUAGCACGUGCAUGCACAUGCUUCCGUAUUUUCACUCCUAUAUAUACCCCGAAGGUAACGAUAAUGUUGGAUAAAUGUUUUAGUGGUAAAAGGGUUAACCCGCGAUUAUCAUGUACAGCAUGAGUUAUUAGCGGACGAGUUGUUCCAUCCCCUCGAUUAACAAUUCAACGAGUAAAACGCGCGCAGAAGUCGAAUAAAGUCGCCGCACAUUCGAAGGGAAUAAAUCGAAGAAUUUCCUACUUUUGUCGUUUCCUCCGUAAAGAUAUCGGAAUGAGCGUGCCGGAUUUAAAAGCGUUCCGCCCGUUCUCUUUGUAAACUCGGAAAAUGUUUCAGCGCGGCGGAGAGAAAUUUCGCGGGCGAUAAAGGCGCCGAGGAGUUCUCGCGAGAUUUUGCGACGCGAUCCUCAAAGCGACCCGAGCCGUUGUGCAACUUCUUUCAAUCCCUCCCCUCGUCGGGAAUAAUAUUCCACUUCCGCGAUAUUCCACGACGUACUGAAACCAGUCACGGAAGUCUUCUUUCUUUAAAAUAUUUCUCCUCGCUAAUGGAAGCGUCCGCAUUUUACUUAUUUGUCGGAAACACAAUAUUGGCUCUUAAGAUUCGCCAAUAUACCAUCUUGUGGAGGUUCGAAGAGGCACAAGUAUAUCUGACAAGCACAUAAUUCUUAAAUAAGUUACGUUAUCAUAAGAUAAUAUGUUAAAUGACGUCUCGCGAUUUUCUUCUGGAAUUUCGCAAUUUCGGGAUUUUCCCUAUUUUUGCUAUAACGUUGUAUUGUGUUAUAUUUUUACAAAUUCUUCGUAUUUGAACCUCAUCGGUGCAUUGUAACUUUUCAUUAUAUUUCUCUACAUCGAGAUUAAUGACAAGUCUGCCUAAUUUUUACAUACUUUCUUUAAUCAACUUUUCUUAGUUACAACUUUUAACCUCCUACCUUACGACAUUAAAAUUUUCUCCAAGGUCUUUCCGACUGACGAAUCGAAAAUUGAGAGAAAAGAAAGCGAGAAUAACUGAGAAGAAAAAUAGAACGAGAAAACUGAGAGGAAGAGCAUAUCGUUUCCGUUAAAGCAACGUCGACGAAAUCUCACCAAUUUUCGGUUUUUUCUCACGUCCUUUACACAACUUAUCUUUUUUCCUUAACCUUAAGAACGGAUCUUUGGUAAGAGGUCGGAACGACGGGUUCGUGUGAUAAAGAGAGUAGUCGGAUAUCAUUCAUUGUCCGGCAUCUUCUUGCCUGGUUUUUCGGUCGGAAGAAGAAAAGAAAUGGGUCCGGAAAGUUCCGACCGGAAAGAGGUACGGAACGGAAGAUGAAAGAGGAACGAAGGUCAUAUAAUUUAUGGACACGCAAUAGGCCUCAUACAAUGGCGUGAAAUAAAUGAUGGGAAUCCUCGGGUCGAUAAGGAUAUGCUUUCGAAGACAGUUAACAUGCCUUACGAAAGGAAUGUAAAAAAAUUCCAGAAUUUAAAGGACCAUGACAAAAGUUAACCCCAAAUUCACCGACAGAUCACCAUCGCAGGUGGACGAUAAAAGGACGUAAAAGUAAUUGGAGAAACAGGAUACGUACAGACGCAUGAAGAUAGACGAGGAAGAGAGCCGAGAUAGGAAGCAGAGCGGGACGACGGAGGGGAAUGGAGAACAAAAAACGCGAAGGGGGAACAGGGGAACACGCGGAAAAGAGGAAGAGAGAAAGAGAAGAAGAGGACGAAGCCCGGAGCGAUCGCGCGAGACCGGAGAUCCACCGCUCGCUGCCUCCCGAGAAGAGAAAAAGAGAAGGAGAGGUCCAAGGUCCGUGCUUCCGGUCCGGAUACCGACCGGUUCUCCCGUUCUCGCGAUACAGACGAGGUGGAGGAGGACGAGGAGGAGGACGACGACAAGGAAGAGGAGGAGGUGGAGGGAAGAGAGAUAAAAGGAUCUAUCUUCCCGCCCAGCGAAUAUCCGCGUCGAGCAAAAUCUCCGAGCACGGGCAAACAGAUUUAAUGGCACUCAUACACCUUACUAAUCUUUUAUAAAAAGCACUAUUUCAUCAUUUUUUCGGCGUAAAAGCACCUCCGAGGGAAGGCGUGCGCGCACUUAAAGGUACUUUUCGUCGUAAAAAGUGAGCGAGCUAAAUGAAUAUUUAAGGAAUGUGAAAAUCGCGACUUCUUCCUAAAGCAACUUUCUUAAAAUACAACAUUGUGAAGCGUCCGAACGAAAACACAAUGAACCUCUCAUUCCCCUGUUAGGAUUAUAGUAUAUAAUGCGUAUAGACAAAGUUAAUCUAAAUUUGGAUAUUGCACGUAUUUUUGAUGCGCGAGUGUAAAUAUGUUUGUUUUUUGAAUUGAAGUAUAAAUAAAUAUACAGAGAUUGCGCUUCCGAAGAGAUUAAAAUACGAAUUACGAAAGUGCAAGAAAUGAAGGUUCACAGAAGCAAGAUAAAUCAAUGAUAGCGGGAUCUCGGCACGAUUUAUAAUCGAUGCAUCCAUGCGAUACGGUUGACGGGAAUUAGCCGGCCGGAUGCAACGGACGAAACUUAAUUAAAACGGGUUAAAGAUCGCGUUCCGCUCGUGUAAUAAAGAUGUAACAGUAGCUGUAAAGCGCGCGGAAAUCGUAUCGUUGCUCGUGUGACCAAAUGUAUCACACACGCCGUUGCUGCUAUGUGACGAUAAAUGCAAUUCCCAUUUACGACUCGCGUAUAUUGUGUAACGCGUGCGACGUGACACAGUACGCUGCAUUCCGCGGACGGCCGCUCGCCACUCUCGACCAUUUAAAUAUUAUAUAUUCGGUACUUUAAUAUUUUAAAUUUAUCUAGACAGACAUUUCAUAUGCU